rnacentral:rRNA from 1 species
AUGGCACCCUCGUACUUCUACGACGACACUCCCUACGCGGAGUGGACUGCGGCGUUGGCCGCAGCUGAGGGCCAUGAUGAGGUGCCCGCUGCAUCCACCGACAGCCUCCAACUCGAGGCGUCCAUGGGCGCCAUCAGCGCGAGUCUGUCCGAGCUCGCCGCGCCUGCAGCACAAACUCUGUCCGCGACCACCGACAUUGCCGUCCUGGAGCUCAGCGUGAGUGACAAGGUGCUUGAAGUUGACACCAACACCGCCGCUCCGACGCCCACCACCUGUUCGACAGGGUGCCCAAGAUGCGACACGCCCGAGGAGUCGGCGCUCACUUCGUCCACGACACUACCUUCAUCCAUGAUCGUCGGCGACAUCGCUCCUGAGCUUGCUGCACAUGUAUGUGGCCUCUAUCAUAUUACUGAGACUGAGAGAGACGACCCAAUGGCGUCGUUCCUAGUUCCCUGGAGUGCACCUACAUCCUUCACAAUGCCACAUGAAGCCUCGCCAAUGCCUCUGCGUUGGUUGUUCCCUGUCUUUGAUAUGGAUAACUUUGCAGUUACUAAGUGUUCAACUGAUUGCUUCGACUACAACACCAGUGAGGCCAUAGCUUCAGUUAUUGAGCAAAAGAUAUCUUCCAAUUCAGUACUGCAAAUGCCUUUAAGUGGAUCUGCACCCAAUUUUAUUAUGGCGAUUUUUUCCGAGUGUGGCAGUUUGCUGAAGUGUGGAUGGAGAGGACAGUUUGGCUUGCAAGAUAUUCUUGUACAGAUUACCAUUCCCCAAGCUGAUGCAGUUUGCUAUUUUUGGGAAACAUCUAACCAUGGGGGACAAGAUAUUGGAGGGAGUGGACAUGUCAUUCACUGGUAA